rnacentral:rRNA from 1 species
AUGGAGAGUUUGAUCCUGGCUCAGGACUAACGCUGGCGGCGUGCCUAACACAUGCAAGUCAAGGAGAACGGUCCCUUCGGGGAACAAGUAAACUGGCGCACGGGUGAGUAAUACAUAGGUAACCUGCCCCAGAGACUGGGAUAACCCGCCGAAAGGCGGACUAAUACCGGAUAAUGCAGCGGGCCCUUCGGGGAACAGUUGUUAAAGUGGUCCGUACUUGUACGGUCACACUUUGGGAUGGGCUUAUGUCCGAUUAGUUUGUUGGUGAGGUAACGGCUCACCAAGGCUAUGAUCGGUAGCUGGUCUGAGAGGAUGAUCAGCCACACUGGGAUUGAGAUACGGCCCAGACUCCUACGGGAGGCAGCAGUGGGGAA